rnacentral:snoRNA from 1 species
AUCCCAUGAUGUGGACACUUCUACAUUAUAUUCUUAAACCUAUUCCAGGCUUCAUCAAAGUUCUCAAAGUCGACUUGAUGAAAGACAGAUAUGUCAUGCUUGAGCUU